rnacentral:rRNA from 1 species
GAUGAACGCUGGCGGCGUGCCUAAUACAUGCAAGUCGAGCGGACAGAUAAUGAGCUUGCGCCUUUGACGUUAGCGGCGGACGGGUGAGUAACACGUGGAUAACCUACCUAUAAGACGGGAAUAACUACGGGAAACCGCGGAUAAUGCCGGAGAACAUUUAGAACCGCAUGGUUCUAGAGUGAAUGAUGCUUUUGCUGUCACUUAUAGAUGGACCCGCGCCGUAUUAGCUAGUUGGUAAGGUAACGGCUUACCAAGGCAACGAUACGUAGCCGACCUGAGAGGGUGAUCGGCCACACUGGAACUGAGACACGGUCCAGACUCCUACGGGAGGCAGCAGUAGGGAAUCUUCCGCAAUGGGCGAAAGCCUGACGGAGCAACGCCGCGUGAGUGAUGAAGGUCUUCGGAUCGUAAAACUCUGUUAUUAGGGAAGAACAAAUGUGUAAGUAAAUGUGCACGUCUUGACGGUACCUAAUCAGAAAGCCACGGCUAACUACGUG